UGGGGAAUAUUGCGCAAUGGGCGAAAGCCUGACGCGGCAACGCCGCGUGAGUGAUGAAGGCCUUCGGGUCGUAAAGCUCUGUCGGAGGGAACGAAUGCUCCUGAAGUUAACAGCCUCAGGAGGUGACGGUACCCUCAAAGGAAGCACCGGCUAACUACGUGCCAGCAGCCGCGGUAAUACGUAGGGUGCAAGCGUUAAUCGGAAUUACUGGGCGUAAAGCGUGCGCAGGCGGUUGUGUAAGUCAGAUGUGAAAUCCCCGGGCUCAACCUGGGAAUUGCAUUUGAGACUGCACGGCUAGAGUGUGUCAGAGGGGGGUAGAAUUCCACGUGUAGCAGUGAAAUGCGUAGAUAUGUGGAGGAAUACCGAUGGCGAAGGCAGCCCCCUGGGAUAACACUGACGCUCAUGCACGAAAGCGUGGGGAGCAAACAGGAUUAGAUACCCGCGUAGUCCCUGAGCGGGCUGGCAAGGCGC
rnacentral:rRNA from 1 species